rnacentral:rRNA from 1 species
ACCUGAGAGGGUGAUCGGCCACAGUGGAACUGAGACACGGUCCAAACUCCUACGGGAGGCAGCAGUGGGGAAUAUUGCACAAUGGGCGAAAGCCGGAUGCAGCAACGCCGCGUGAGUGAUGAAGGCCUUCGGGUCGUAAAACUCUGUCCUCAAGGAAGAUAAUGACGGUACUUGAGGAGGAAGCCCCGGCUAACUACGUGCCAGCAGCCGCGGUAAUACGUAGGGGGCUAGCGUUAUCCGGAUUUACUGGGCGUAAAGGG